CUUCGGUUGAGCACCUGACAAUGAAGAAAAGCCCCGGGAGAGGUCCCACACCCUGGUGGGGGGCCGAGUCAGUCGUUAUGUUCCAAGAAGGUAGCUAAGAAACUUGCCCCCGGGCUGAACCCUUGGGGGGCCGAGUCAGCCGUUAUGUUUCAGAAAGGUAGCUAGGAAACUUGCCCCCGGGCUAAACCCUUGCCAUAUUAGAAUCCACCAAUUAUAUCCCUGUAACCAUGCAUCUGCUUCUGUAUGCUUGCUUCUGCUCCCCAAAAUCCUAUAAAAGCCCAUCCUUGGUUCUGUGGGGCGCGCCAGUCCCCCGAGUGACUGAAGCGCCCGCAGGUGCCUGUGCCUGUGUAUCCCGACAAUAAACCAAAUCCUCUUGCUGAUUGCAUCCUGUGGUGUCUCGGUCUGGUCUUUGGAGUUGGAGGGUCUCCAUCUCGAGGGAAAGUUCUCCCUGAGAGCUUUUCAUUUGGUGCAUUGGCCGGGAAAGGAGAUCCUCCACCCAGAGACCACCGACCACCCACUGGGAGGUAAGCCGGCCGGCGUCUGUCUGUCUGUCUGUCUGAUUUUGUCUCGUUCUGCCUUAUUCUGUCUGUUCUGUGAGCGCUCAGCCAGGUCUGUUCUGUGAGCGCUCAGCCAGGUCUGUUCUGUGAGCGCUCAGCCAGGUUGUUUGGAAUUUGGGCGGGACGAAGAAGGAGCUGACGAGCUCGGACUUCUCGCCCCGCAGCCCUGGAAGACGUUCCAAGGGUGUUGGGGCCCGACUUUUCGGGGCCCAAUCUGGGAGAGGAGAAAGAUCCGGACUAACGGCACCUCUGUCUGUAUUUUUGGCUUUCAGAGGGCCCCGGACCUUUGCCACCUCCAUCUGACUUUUUGCUUUCAGUUUGGUACCAAAGCCGUGCAGCACGCCUGUCUGUUGUUUGUUUGACUGUUGGUGUUGUUUGUUUUCUCUGUGUUCUAAUCUUCCUUAGAACUAACAUGGGACAGUCCCUAACAAUGCCCCUAAGUCUCACUCUUGAUCAUUGGGAAGACGUCCACGAC
rnacentral:lncRNA from 1 species